ensembl:lncRNA
ACGGCAGAGCCGGAGCGACUAAGGACCAAGUUGGAGCUGGCGGGAGGAAGGAGCCCAAUGGAGCCGGUGGGAUGGAGCGACGAGGUGCAGCCGGAGGAGCUGCAACUCUUCCUACAUAAAGUAGUGACGUAGACAUGUGGGGGUGUGUUUAAACAAGGCAUUUUAGGAGGGCGUGGACAAGUCUUAACUUUUAUAAAGAAUAUCUCUUUGGAUUUGAGACUUUAGUCUUUGCAACUUUACAGAUCGUCUUUAUGCACCAAGAGCUUGUAACAUUCCAAAGAGAAAGGAAAAAUUGAAAUCGCAUCAUAUGACCCCUUUAACUUAUUGGGAGACAACCGGUAUGUUCUAUAUGAAAUCAUACAUUUGAGCACCCCCAUGUAGCCAAAAUGGCAUGAUCAUAACACCCCUUGAAUAUACGACUGUGAGAUUGGUAGUCAAAUCGGGCUCCUCCUAUCAAAGCAUCGAAUCGACGACUUUUCAGGGUCACCCCUAAUUUAUAUAUAUAUAUAUAUAUAUAUAUAUAUAUAUAUAUAUAUAUAUAUAUAUAUAUAUAUAUAUAUAAAAAUACACAUAGCCAAAAUUUAUAUACAAUAAUGGCAUCAACAUCAUUCUUAAUGCAUGACAGGAGUGAAAGGAAUGUCUUUUUUACAUCGAAAUGUCUUUACACCAUUAAAUAAUACAUUUUCAAGGUGUCCUUUGGCCCGAAACAACAUUUCUCUUGUGUGCUUCUGUCACAGUUCAUCAGCCACCCUGCAAUCUCUCCAUCCUCAAAAACAAAAAUAUGGCAAUGUCAAUCACAUACAAACUCGUCUUCCAUCACUAAAGUACUUGACAGGUCCAGCUUUAAAUGCAGCCAUUACUCACAGUGACAGCAAAGUGACUUGACAUUGGAAAGGUUAUUUAAAGAUAUUGUACUUUAAUGAAAGUGGAACGCUUAUUCCUCUAUGUAUUUUGGAUCUCUAGAAGACCUGAGUCAGUUUGUGCCAACAUAUUCUUUAUUUCGAAAGAAAUGUUGGCACACUAGUGCAUUUUAUAACUUUUCACCCUGCUAAGUACAGUCAUGGUCAACGGAGUCAAUAGGUCUGUUGAUUUGAGGCAGGUGUCAUGUUAUGCUUCAGCUCACUUUGAUGUAUCAGGUCACGGAUGCACAUGAAUCUUUGGACAAGCAACACCCAAAAAUAACACCAGGAGCGUGAGGCAGUUGGUGGAGCCAUGUUUCAGUGUGGCAGAAAGCCCGGGCACAGUCUGUGCCCCAACUAUGAGCAUGCCGUACUUGUGCCAAAAAGACAUGAAAGACCACCAGGAUUAUUAGAACAUAGGAUAAAUCCCCCCGUCCACAAUAAACUCCUUUCAACCAAAGCAAUAACUGCAUUCCACUCAAAUACGCUGGUACUAUGAACAUUCACACAGCAUAGUCUGAUCAAUUUAGCUUUUUCUCAUAUGUUCGGUUAGGGGUAUGUUCAAAUCCCUAAACCUAAGUAUUAACCUUCAGUGCAAAACACUCUAGCAAAUGCAUAGCAAUGAGCUAAAACAAACAUCUGAGCAACCACAUGGCAACCAACAUCAAUACCAUAGCAUCAAGCUGGGAAGCAGCGAUCACAUUUUUCUGUAUAAAAUGUAAAAAUACGUAAUAC